rnacentral:rRNA from 1 species
UUGGGAAUCUUGCACAAUGGGGGAAACCCUGAUGCAGCGACGCCGCGUGGAGGAUGAAGGAUCUAGGUCUGUAAACUCCUUUUGCACGGAAAGACUUAGGACGGUACCGUGCGAAUAAGCUCCGGCUAACUACGUGCCAGCAGCCGCGGUAAGACGUAGGGAGCAAGCGUUGUCCGGAUUUACUGGGCGUAAAGGGCGCGUAGGCGGACUGUUAAGUGAGUACUGAAAUCUCCAGAGCUCAACUCGGAAA